rnacentral:rRNA from 1 species
UACGUAGGGCGCAAGCGUUAUCCGGAAUUAUUGGGCGUAAAGAGCUCGUAGGCGGUUUGUCGCGUCUGCCGUGAAAGUCCGGGGCUUAACCCCGGAUCUGCGGUGGGUACGGGCAGACUAGAGUGCAGUAGGGGAGACUGGAAUUCCUGGUGUAGCGGUGAAAUGCGCAGAUAUCAGGAGGAACACCGAUGGCGAAGGCAGGUCUCUGGGCUGUAACUGACGCUGAGGAGCGAAAGCAUGGGGAGGGAACAGG